GAGUCUAGUCCUUGAAGUCAGUGCCAAGAUUCAGCACUGAGAAUGCCCUGAAUUUCUGGUGAUAUCCUGAGUUCACUAGGACAGUCUAUUAGGACAUCAUCCCUUUGUUAGUUGAGAAAUGGCCAACUAGGAGAAUGUCGGUAUGGUGGGAAGACUUCAAGAUGGCCAAGAUCCUGAAGAUCCUCCCUCCUGUGAAAGCUCUCACUGAUGACCUUCCUGAGCAAGUCCUUCCUGCCUCAGUUGAUUUGUCUACCAGUGCUGAGAACUGAUCUUCUGCCUUCAAC
rnacentral:lncRNA from 1 species